rnacentral:rRNA from 1 species
GACGAACGCUGGCGGCGCGCUUAACACAUGCAAGUCGAACGGAAAGGCCUGCUUUCCCUUGUGGAUUGCGGGUACUCGAGUGGCGAACGGGUGAGUAACACGUGAGUUAUCUGCCCCCAACUUGGGUAUAAGCCUGGGAAACUGGGUCUAAUUCCCGAUAGGACUGCAGGGUGGUGCCUGUGGUGGAAAACGAUUUUCUAGUGGUUGGGGAUGAGCUCGCGGCCUAUCAGCUUGUUGGUGGGGUAAUGGCCUACCAAGGCGGCGACGGGUAGCCGGCCUGGGAGGGUGGACGGCAAGAGUGGGACUGAGAUACGGCCCAGACUCCUACGGGAGGCAGCAGUGGGGAAUAUUGCACAAUGGGCGGAAGCCUGAUGCAGCGACGCCGCGUGGGGGAUGACGGCCUUCGGGUUGUAAACUCCUUUCGACCGCGAGGAAGCCACCUGGUUGGAAGGGUGGUGACGGUAGUGGUAGAAGAAGCACCGGCUAACUACGUG